GAAUGGUUCUUAUGUCACAAAAUAUAUUCAGUGGGUCUGUAGUAGAUCAAAGCAACUGAAUGCCUGGGUGGAUCAAGGUGGUGAUCUCUUUUCGUCCUGUAGCAAAGUAGACUUGUGGGUGUGGUCUGCCUUCACUGAGAUGGAAAUAAGAAAUUACAACUAGAGACCAUCAGAUCUGUAAGGCCUGGAGAGCCACGCAGAAGGAUGCAGACUGGUCAUCGGGCAGGAGUAUUGGUGCACAGAUGGCCAGUAUUGGAGGCUGAGACUUGAGAGAUGUCAAACAUCUGAGUGGGAUGGGAAAAAAUGAAGCUGAGAGUGUUGCAAUGAACUUCCCAAGGUCAUUCAUCUGCUGAGGAGUCCUUAUGCUAAGUCUUGGAAGGGAAUGGCCCGUUUCCUCUCAAUUCCAUCUGGAUCCUUCUAUUCAGCUGAGAUUAAUAGAUUCAGCUAAUGAGUCACCCUGUCAGUGUCUAGUUAUUUAGCAGUGGAGUUAAAAAAACCUUCUACCUCUCCUUAUAGCAAUUAAAUUCCUUAGCUAAAGAAAUCAUUCAAGAAGAAGAUAUAAAGUUAUGAAAAAUAGAAGAUUUGCCUCUUUCUGAGUAACAGAAGGGGUAUUUUUUAAGAUAUGAUUUCAAAAUGGCUACAUUUGGAUGGAUUCAGAUACAAUGAGAUGUCUACAAAUUAGAUUUGGUGUUUACUACAGCUGGUGAAUGAGAUAGUAUGACCUUUCCUUUACAUACCUGGCCGCCCGAUGAAUUACAUAUAUGAUUAAUGUGUGUGACUGUAUACAUGUGGAUGUGAGUGUUUACCAACUCUGCCUAUUUCCUUUGUCGAAGCACAAUGGAUGAUGACAGUAAAUGAUUACAUAUAGACUACAAGAAAUUAGAGCCCCUACAAUAUAGGAAUCUCAACUUUAUGCUCUGCUUUUUUCCCCCUGUAAUUGACUCCCUGAAACAUUAGACUCAAAAGAAAAGGAGCACUAGUACAUUUAUGAGUGCCUAUGAUUCACAAGAACAGCUCUUUUAUGUUGGCUGUAAUAAUGCCAUUCCGGGUAAUGGACCAGACAGAAAGGAAGAAAACGCAGGACCAGAAGAGCCACAAACAACAUUUCAGGAUCAGCGUAAUGGUUGCCAGAACAUGAAAAAUCGCAGAGCUUCCAGGCCCUGAGCCAACCUUAUUCAGGACUCAGGGGGGAAAAAACCAGUCUGGGUAAAUUCUCAGUGUAAACUCCGAGGGGAGCACAUCACUAUGUCAGCCUAAAGAGAGGAUGAACCCCUGCACCUCUGUCUCGGCUUACUGUUAUUCCACCCCCAGCAAAAUGCACACUAAGUUUAAAAUGUCACCUUUGGGCUUCCUUUCACUCAGCUUACUCAGCUCAUCUUUACAGAUUGCAUCCACACCCUGUG
rnacentral:lncRNA from 1 species